CAAAUUAAAGCUUUAUUAAGCAUUUUAGUUACAUUAAAAAGAUUAUCAUAAUUUGGUAUAAUUUGA
rnacentral:tRNA from 1 species